UCCAGUUUGAUUGGCAAUUUCAAAUAAUUGGAACGACUCUAUUAUUUUUUCCAUGUACCGGCAACAAUGUUAUGAUUGGCUCUCGAGAACUUCUAUGUAACAACAUGAUUGGGGCCAAGGGAGAACUUGCGAUGAGUAAGUUAAUAGGGGUGAAGAAUUCACUGCGCCAUUUUGAAAAUAGACUUCCGAUUGUAUUGAUGGACUGCUAGAACUGUACUGCAUUGAUGGUCGUUGCCUUUGCACCUGUAUGUCUGCUUAACGGUCCACGACCAACCACCUUUUUUCCACUGUAUUGGGAAAAAUUGGUAGGUGUUAUAGCUCGGCCACAUAUAUAGGGGCAAAGUGGACUGUAGCUCAGGUGUUUCCUUGCAGCAGAACUCAGUUCAGUUUUAAUACCCCAGUCUCGACAUAGCGAGUUGUACGUUAUACCGCAGUCUAACGUCUCCGAGUGCUUAAACUCUGCCGACAAUUACCGACCGACCAUCGACCAACGUCCACGAACUAUUUGAUUACCUAAAGGUCGCAGCAGCAACCCCGUUUUCACCCCAUUUGUGCCGGACAUAGAAGGCUAGGGUACCACUACGGCUAACACUUGUCAACCACCAGUUUUAUCAUCGUCACUUUUGGUAGGUAGUAUUUACAUAUGUUGAUUUAGGGGACGGGCACAUUCCCUGUAUAGCCGAUUCAAUUCAUAUAUGUAUGUAUGUAUAUCUUUAGGAACCAUUGGUUAUGUAAUUUCUGUUCACAGGUUCUCCAUCGUUUGCAAAAAUAAUCCAUUGUAAUAGCGACCAAAUUGGUAUAGUUAUACACCAAUGAAAAACAUACAAAAUGUGUGAAUUCAAGUAAAACAUGUUGGACACCCAGAAUUCUUAGUUCUUUUAAAUGCUCAGAUCCUAUUACUUAACAAUGAAUAAAAGAAAUCCAUGGCAUUUUAUAUAUGACCACGUCACCUAAUCGAAAACAUGUUAUAACGCAAAUAUAUUCACAAAUAAAGGACAUUUAUUACAAAAUAGCUUUUAUUUUGUUAUACAAAUGAUUUUGAUAAUAUAAUAUCGAAUAAUCACAUUAAUGAAUAAUUAUAGCCGAAUAAUUCAAUAUUCAAAAGGUUGUCGAUUUUUAGGCAUUAGAUAAAAAUGAUAAAAUAUACUUAUUAUAAUACAUCGCUUAUUACAAAAAGGUUUUGACAUACUUAUUUAAAAAACUGGCACAGAUUAUAUUCGGGUACAAAGAAUUCUAUAUUUCUAUACACAAAUAUAUAUUAGAAAGUUAUAAAAAUUGUUUACCCGUUUUUGUACUCUUGUAUUUAAAUUAUAUUUUAGUUAAUGUGUGCCUAGUUUAUACCCUAGUCCACUGACAGCAAUUUAAAAACUUAAGAACUAAAUAUAAAUACUCUUAGAGUACAAAAAUAAAUUAAGUUCCUGUAUUUCUGAUUAAUUAUAUAUAAUAUAUAUAUAUUUAGCAACGUUCCACUAGCAGACAUAGUAGUAAAUACUCGUAAUAUAUUGUAGUUUGUUUUCAUAAAUGCAACUGGCAAAUGUCUAUAGGAUUUCGAUUGAUUAUAAUUUUCGCAAAAGUCGCAUCCUUAUCAGUAUGAUCAGUAUCAGUCGAUAUUCUUGUUAUUGCACACAAUAUACACUUUGAAAUUACCAAGAUCGAAUAAAAUCGAUUCGUUAUCAUGUACCAUAAGAUUUGUUUGCUCUUCACUGAUACCUUAAAUUUAUUUUUUUUUCCAUCCCUGUUUCGUCGGUUGGGCAGGAGGUGGU